rnacentral:rRNA from 1 species
CGCCUUUAGAGCGGCCCGCGUCUGAUUAGCUAGUUGGUGAGGUAAAGGCUCACCAAGGCGACGAUCAGUAGCUGGUCUGAGAGGAUGAUCAGCCACAUUGGGACUGAGACACGGCCCAAACUCCUACGGGAGGCAGCAGUGGGGAAUCUUGCGCAAUGGGCGAAAGCCUGACGCAGCCAUGCCGCGUGAAUGAUGAAGGUCUUAGGAUUGUAAAAUUCUUUCACCGGGGACGAUAAUGACGGUACCCGGAGAAGAAGCCCCGGCUAACUUCGUGCCAGCAGCCGCGGUAAUACGAAGGGGGCUAGCGUUGCUCGGAAUUACUGGGCGUAAAGGGAGCGUAGGCGGACAUUUAAGUCAGGGGUGAAAUCCCGGGGCUCAACCUCGGAAUUGCCUUUGAUACUGGGUGUCUUGAGUAUGAGAGAGGUGUGUGGAACUCCGAGUGUAGAGGUGAAAUUCGUAGAUAUUCGGAAGAACACCAGUGGCGAAGGCGACACACUGGCUCAUUACUGACGCUGAGGCUCGAAAGCGUGGGGAGCAAACAGGAUUAGAUACCCUGGUAGUCCACGCCGUAAACGAUGAUUGCUAGUUGUCGGGAUGCAU